GACGAACGCUGGCGGCGUGCUUAACACAUGCAAGUCGAACGAAGAGCGAUGGAAGCUUGCUUCUAUCAAUCUUAGUGGCGAACGGGUGAGUAACGCGUAAUCAACCUGCCCUUCAGAGGGGGACAACAGUUGGAAACGACUGCUAAUACCGCAUACGAUCUAAUCUCGGCAUCGAGGAUAGAUGAAAGGUGGCCUCUACAUGUAAGCUAUCACUGAAGGAGGGGAUUGCGUCUGAUUAGCUAGUUGGAGGGGUAACGGCCCACCAAGGCGAUGAUCAGUAGCCGGUCUGAGAGGAUGAACGGCCACAUUGGGACUGAGACACGGCCCAGACUCCUACGGGAGGCAGCAGUGGGGAAUCUUCCGCAAUGGACGGAAGUCUGACGGAGCAACGCCGCGUGAGCGAUGACGGCCUUCGGGUUGUAAAGCUCUGUUAAUCGGGACGAAAGGCCUUCUUGCGAAUAGUGAGAAGGAUUGACGGUACCGGAAGAGAAAGCCACGGCUAACUACGUG
rnacentral:rRNA from 1 species